rnacentral:lncRNA from 1 species
CUAAAAAUACAAAAAUUAGCCAGGCGCGGUGGUGCACACCUGUAAUCCCAGCUACUCGGGAGGCUGAGGUGGGAGAAUUGCUUGGACCCAGGUGGCAGAGGUUGCAGUGAGCCAAGAUUGUGCCACUGCACUCCAGCCUGGGCAACAAAGCGAAGCUCUGUCUCAAUAAAAAAAAAAAUAAUAAUAAUAAAAUACAAAUACUUAGAAAUUAACUUCGCCUUUGCCUUCAGGCACUUUUGCUACAUGUUAGCAUCAGAGGCUAUUGUACAACUAGAUGGUUAUUCCCUGUUUCUUGGCCGAUUUUUGGUACCUUUCUUUGAAGAAGAGGGUUAGAUUUUAAGAAAGAAAGUGUGCUUAUUUCACUCAUGUCUUUGCAGAAUUUAACUUUGCUUUACUUUAAAAAUUCCAAUCAUCAUGUACCUAUAAAGGUUAAAAUAUAGUGAAAGUUUCUGCUUCAUGUGAAUUCAAUUCUGAGCACCUGCAGGUCAUAUCAGGUGUCUGAUGCAGUUACCUUUAUAGAUCGUGGCAGGUCCUUACAUUUCAACAGGCUUAUGCAUUUCCAUGGGGGGAAGAGAUUCUGUUUCUAGGAAAUUACAAAGGGCACACCACUGCAGGGAGUGUAAACAAUUCUUUGUUGCAACAGACAAGAUUUUUUUUAAAAAAAGAAAAAAGGAUGCAUUUUAGGUACACAGGGUAUGGACGCAUUCAACAUUUACUUUUAUCUCCACAGAUGCCAACCUCCCCUUGUUGCAGGCAGUUGGGCUUUUCCAACUCAUUGCUAACAAAGCUGGCAUCUGCAUUAAUUUCAAUGAGAAUUUCAAGUACUGAAGAUGAAAAGUUGGGGAGAUUCAUGUUUGAAAAAUGAAAAAUGAACAAAAAAUCCACCUUGUGCAGUGAGAUAGCUAACGCUGAUAUAUCAGGAAUAAUUUUAAACUAUUUUUGCUGUAAUGUGUAGCUUUAAUGUCUCUUUUCAGUUAUGGACCCAUAAAAGUAUUCCUAUAUCUUGUGAAUAAAGAUCAUUCUUGUGGACUAGUACGUGGAUGCAUUCAUAGGCUUUGGGAAGCAGUGGUGUGCGUAUGUGUGUCUAUAUCAAUAUUUUAUGUUUAUAACUCUGCGUAUUAAGUUUAUAUAGAAAAAAAUAAUGUCUUUCUUUAGUGUUUGGGGGACUCAAUGGUAAUAUGACCAUUGCAGUGUAAUCUGACUGCUCACUCUAGAGAACACUUCUGUUAUACACAAUGCACAUACAAACAUACACCCCUAAAGCGUAGCUAACUGCUCCCACUAGAUAAUUGCUGCUAAAAACAAAACAAAACAAAACAAUACAAAACAAAAAAAACCCUAAGUAAUGGAGGAAGAAAUAGCAUUCUUUUAAAAGGGGCUUUUCUGAAGAGUAAAAUGUAAAUACAGGACAUGUGGGGAGGGUGGGGCCGCCUGCAAAAUGUCCUGAAGAUGGACAAAUAGCCUUUUAAAUUCUACUUUUUAACCAUCUUUACCGUGUGUGCCUAUUUGUAUUGCAGAUGUGAACUACUAUUUUUGGAGGUUGAUAUCAGUAUGUUUUGAAACUGAAUUAUUACAUAAAAUCAGAGUAACCUCUUUCUCCAUCCUCCUUUUCCACACUAUUCUUGCCAAAUAUUUCUACUGAAACCCAGUUUCAGCAAGGCAAAAUGAUGGGACUCUCAAACCUCCCUCCUCAUCUUCCCUUCCCCUCUGUCUUAUGCCUGGCCUGGCCUUUUUUGUUGUUGUUGGCUUUUCAUAAGUAAGAAAAAUUUAUUGUAGUAUUUCAAGACUGCAGAAUUUCAAGUGUAUAUCUAUAAAUCUUUUUUUAAAAUCUUCGGCUACACAGUAACAUCAAUUAAAACAGAAGAGUGAGUCUAAGUCUGUAAUAUGCUGUAGGACCAGAUAAGAUUUUGAAUGAGACUAAACUUGACUGCCAUAUUUUAAGAGGAAAUUGAAACUUUAUGGUGGAGAAUGGAUGAGAGCAAGUCUAUGAUAUAUAUGUAGUCAUUGUAUAAUUAGAAACACCAAAUGCUGAAUCCUAUCACUGUGUUCUUGGGGGCCAGGCCUUGGAUUUGGUUGUCAUUUAAACUCCUUGAAGAUUAUAUGUAAUUAUAAUGAGCAGAAGGCAAAUAAAGUUUUUGAACAAAAGUCCUUGUUUUCAGUAUUUAAAAUUUGGUAAUAUAUUUUCUUUUUCAGUUAAACUAUCUUCCCCACAAAAAAUAUUAUACUUCAGUUAAACUAUCUUCCCCACAGAAAUUAUUAUACUACGAACAAGUUAUGAGUGAGACUGAGAAGCUUGAAGAAGCUGGUUUUUAAGCAGCUCAUAUAAUAUUUUGUGUUAAAGAAAGUGUCAUUGUUUCCUGUUGGGAGGCAAAUAACAACAACAACAAAAGAAAUUGUCAUGAUUCUUUCUGAGCCAAACUGUCACGAAAUGUUCUGUGACAGAACCACUACUCUUUUUUCUGCCAUUCUGCCUACUGGAGAGUUCUAUGUUGUAUUUGUUUUUAAUCCUUGAUUUUAAAAAUAUUAAUGGUUUUAGUGUUGCUUAGCUUCAGUUUGAAGUAUAACUUUCACUAAUAACUGCAAUAAAAAGAAAAGCUUUGCUCUUAAACUUUCUCUUGUGUGGUCAUCAUUACAGCUCUUCAGACUAGGGAACGAGACCCAUGUGAUACAGUGGAAGGCACUUAAGCUUUAGUCAUGAAGUCCUGGGUUCAAACCUUGAUUAUGUGACACUCUGAGCAAGUUCCUUGAUGCUUCUAAAUCUCAGUUUCCUCCAGUGUGAAAGGAGAAAGUAGAACUGUUGGAGCAUUAAAUGAG